GAUGAACGCUGGCGGCGUGCCUAAUACAUGCAAGUCGAACGAAAAGACGAGGAGCUUGCUCCUCUGUCGUUAGCGGCGGACGUGUGAGUAACACGUGUAUAACCUACCUUUAUUACUGGGAUAACUUCGGGAAACCGGCGCUUAUACCGGAUAAUCUACUGAUCCGUACUGCUCAUUAGGGAAUGACGGUGUUUGUGUCUGUUAUAGAUGGUUCUGCGCCUGAUUAGCUGGUUGGUAAGGUAACGGCUUACCAAGGCAACGAUGCGUAGGCGGCCUGAGGGGGUGAUCGGCCACACUGGAACUGAGACACGGUCCAGGCUCCUACGGGAGGCAGCAGUAGGGAAUCUUCCGCAAUGGGCGAAAGCCUGACGGAGCAACGCCGCGUGAGUGAUGAAGGUCUUCGGAUCGUAAAGCUCUGUUAUUAGGGAAGAACAAAUGUGUAAGUAACUGUGCACGUCUUGACGGUACCUAAUCAGAAAGCCCCGGCUAACUACGUG
rnacentral:rRNA from 1 species